CCUACGGGUGGCAGCAGUAGGGAAUAUUGCACAAUGGGGGCAAGCCUGAUGCAGCAACGCCGCGUGUGUGAUGAAGGUUUUCGGGUUGUAAACUCCUUUUGUUAGAGAAGAUUGUGACGAGGUCUAACGAAUAAUCACCUGCUAACUCCGUGCCAGCAGCCGCGGUAAUACUGAGGGUGCAAGCGUUACUCGGAAUCACUGGGCGUAAAGAGUGCGGAGGCGGGGUAACAAGUCAGAUGUGAAAUCCUGUAGCUUAACUAAAGAACUGCAUUUGAAACUGGUACUCUGGAGUGUUGGAGAGGGAGGUAGAAUUCCUGGUGUAGGGGUAAAAUGCGUAGAGAUCAAGAGGAAUACCCAUGGCGAAGGCGACCUGCUGGAACAUGACUGACGCUGAGGCACGAAAGCGUGGGGAGCAAACAGGAUUAGAUACCCGGGUAGUC
rnacentral:rRNA from 1 species